AUGCCGCUACGCAGCGCAUUGUUCGUGCACCGACACCGAUGUCUGUCGAAACAUCAGUUUGUGUUCCAGCUAUUGUAUACUGAACACUGUGCCACUUUAUGACAGCUCAAUCACCAAUGACGUACUUUGAUACAAACAUAGGCUACGCGUUCAUUGGUAACACAUCUGUCAUUUGAGCACUGUGCUCCAUUCACAGUCGAGGUUAAAAUACUUCUAACAACGUAACCACCCACCAUAUUGAAAAAGUAGUUUAUCGGUGAAUGAUGAUCAAGACGUUAAAGUAGUGAAUUCGGAUCUUAAAGUUUAAUGUAUUUACAACAAAAUGUCGGGGAAUUUCGGAAUGCAGCAGUUAAUCCCCAUUGUAAACAAACUACAAGAUGCAUUUGUGCAAAUGGGCGUGCACAUGUCUUUAGAUCUCCCACAAAUUGCAGUUGUGGGUGGCCAGUCCGCUGGAAAGAGUUCAGUGUUAGAAAACUUCGUCGGCAGGGAUUUUCUGCCCCGUGGCUCCGGUAUUGUGACUCGUCGCCCUUUGAUUCUACAGCUCAUACAUGGAAACGCAGAAUAUGCGGAGUUCCUCCACUGCAAGGGCAGAAAGUUCGUGGACUUCAAUGAGGUGCGAGGGGAGAUCGAGGCGGAGACGGACCGCAUCACGGGCUCCAACAAGGGCAUUUCGCCCGUGCCUAUCAACCUCCGCGUCUACUCGCCCAACGUACUUAACCUGACGCUGAUCGACUUGCCCGGCCUGACGAAGGUUCCCAUUGGCGACCAGCCGGUCGACAUCGAAGCCCAGAUCAAGGGCAUGAUCUUCCAGUUCAUCCGGCGGGAGUCGUGCUUGAUCCUCGCCGUCACUCCGGCCAACACCGAUCUGGCGAACAGCGAUGCUCUCAAACUUGCCAAAGAAGUUGACCCGCAAGGUCUGCGCACGAUCGGCGUGAUCACCAAGCUGGAUCUGAUGGACGAAGGCACCGACGCGCGUGACGUACUCGAGAACAAGCUGCUGCCGCUACGUCGCGGCUACAUCGGCGUCGUCAACCGCUCGCAGAAAGACAUCGACGGCCGCAAGGACAUCGCCGCCGCGCUCGCUGCUGAGAGGAAGUUCUUCCUCAGCCACCCUUCAUACCGGCACAUCGCGGACCGGCUCGGGACCCCGUACCUGCAGCGCGUGCUCAACCAGCAGCUCACCAACCACAUCCGCGACACCCUUCCCGGCCUGCGCGACAAGCUGCAGAAGCAGCUGCUCACGCUGGAGAAGGAUGUCGACCAGUACAAGCACUUCCGCCCCGACGACCCCUCCAUCAAGACCAAGGCCAUGCUGCAAAUGAUUCAAACACUGCAAACCGACUUCGAGCGCACCAUCGAAGGUUCUGGCUCCGCGCAGAUCAACACCAAUGAGCUGUCGGGCGGUGCCAAGAUCAACCGGCUCUUCCACGAGCGGUUCCCCUUCGAGAUCGUCAAGAUGGAGUUCGAUGAAAAGGAGCUUCGACGCGAGAUCGCCUUCGCUAUCAGGAAUAUCCACGGUAUUAGGGUUGGUUUGUUCACGCCCGACAUGGCGUUUGAGGCCAUCGUGAAGAAACAGAUCGGGCGGCUGAAGGAGCCGUGCCUCAAAUGUGUGGACCUCGUCGUGCAGGAGCUCUCCAACGUCGUUCGCAUUUGUACUGAAAGGAUGUCUCGUUACCCGCGCCUGCGCGAGGAGACGGAGCGCAUCAUCAUGUCGCACGUGCGCUCGCGCGAGAACCAGUGCAAGGACCAGCUCGUGCUGCUCAUCGACUGCGAGCUCGCCUACAUGAACACCAACCACGAGGACUUCAUCGGAUUCGCCAAUGCUCAGAACCAAUCGGAGAACUCGGCCAAGUCGGGGCACCGCGCGCUCGGUAACCAGGUUAUCAGGAAAGGUUACAUGUGCAUACACAACCUGGGCAUCAUGAAAGGAGGUUCCCGCGAUUACUGGUUCGUGCUCACAUCGGAGAGCAUCUCGUGGUACAAGGACGAGGAGGAGCGCGAGAAGAAGUACAUGCUGCCGCUGGACGGGCUGAAGCUGCGCGACCUGGAGCAAGGGUUCAUGUCGCGUCGGCACAUGUUCGCGCUCUUCAACCCUGAGGGCAGGAAUGUCUACAAGGAUUACAAGCAGCUGGAGUUGUCGUGCGAGACCCAGGACGACGUGGACUCGUGGAAGGCGUCCUUCCUGCGUGCCGGAGUCUACCCUGAGAAGACCUCCGAGGCAGCCAACGGUGAAGAGUUAUUUCCUUUCUCUGGUUUGUCGGGGGGUCGGAAAAGCUCAGAUACCGGCGGCUCGAGCAGCAUGGACCCGCAGCUGGAGCGGCAGGUGGAGACCAUUCGCAACCUGGUAGACUCGUACAUGCGCAUCGUGACCAAGACCACGCGCGACCUGGUGCCCAAGACGAUCAUGAUGAUGAUCAUCAACAACGCCAAAGAUUUCAUCAACGGGGAGCUGCUGGCGCAUCUGUACGCGUCCGGUGAUCAGUCGCAAAUGAUGGAAGAAUCCCCGGAGGAAGCGCUGAAGCGCGAGGAGAUGCUCCGCAUGUACCACGCGUGCAAGGAAGCGUUGCACAUCAUCGGCGACGUUUCCAUGGCGACCGUCAGCACGCCCGUGCCGCCGCCCGUUAAGAACGACUGGCUCGAGAGCCGGCUCGACUCCAACCCGCGCCUGUCGCCGCCCUCGCCUGGAGGACCGAGGCGCGCUGCGCCCGCUCAGCAAGGUUCAAUGGGACAACGUGGUGCUCCGCCCCCACCCGGCGCAGGCACCGGCCGGCCGGCGCCCCCGCUGCCGUCGCGGCCCGGCGGCGCGGCGCCCCCGCCCCCCGGCGGCCGCCCGCAGCCCGGUGGAGGCCUGCCUGCCCCGCUCAUACCGACGCGGCGCUAAGCGAGCCAGCCCGUCGUCUGCCCACUAACUAACUAACUUAAGUUACGUACGAACCUAAAGCCGACCUGUCCCGAACGUGCCGCCGAAGUUGCCCGAGCGACCACAGAACGGGCGACCAUUUUGAACUCUUUCGCCGCCAUCUUGUGAUACGCAGCAUUGUAAAUAUAUAAUAUCCUAUUUCUCUGUAUAUUGCUUUAAUUCUAUUUAUUUAAGCGUUAUUACGUUGCGGUCUGUAAGUUAUAAAUAAAUGUAGCAUAGUUUAGGAUCGUUGAAUUGAAAUUAGUAUUACCUAUAUGAAAGUCAGAAGGUGUGAUUGUGUCUUAUAAAUUUGCGAGUAUGUGAUAAGAUGUUACUGAAUCCUUUAUUAUAUAUUAUGAAUUUAACGUGGUGUAAUCAACGGAGAAUACUUAAACGUUGCAAGCAAGACUAAUUGAAGAGCGAUGUCUUAUGAAUAUAAUCAAUAUUUUAUAUGUGA
rnacentral:misc_RNA from 1 species